rfam:Felis catus isolate Cinnamon breed Abyssinian chromosome A1, whole genome shotgun sequence.
GCCUGGGUGGCUCAGUCGGUUAAGCAUCUGACUUCAGCUCAGGUCAUGAUCUCAUGGCUUGUGGGUUCAUGCCCCACGGCGGGCU